rnacentral:rRNA from 1 species
UACGUAGGGGGCUAGCGUUGUCCGGAAUUACUGGGCGUAAAGAGCUCGUAGGUGGUUUGUCGCGUUGUUCGUGAAAACUCACAGCUCAACUGUGGGCGUGCGGGCGAUACGGGCAGACUGGAGUACUGCAGGGGAGACUGGAAUUCCUGGUGUAGCGGUGGAAUGCGCAGAUAUCAGGAGGAACACCGGUGGCGAAAGGCGGGGUCUCUGGGCAGUAAACUGAC